AUUACGUUUCGCAUUAAAGCAAAACCCAGCCCCGGAUACAGGGUCUGGCUCUGUCGCCCAGGCUGGAGUGCGGUGGCGCAGUCAUAGCUCACUGCAGCCUCGACCUCCUGGGUCCAGCGAUCCUUCUGCCCCAGCCUCCCGAGUAGCUGGGACCACAGGCGCCUACACCGUGCCCGUUGGGACUUUUUCGGUGUGAUGCGAAGACUCCCUUCCUGCCCCCAGAGCAUGAGGGUGCUCUGGGAAAAAAUGGGAAACAGACAAGCAUGUGUUACUACGUAAACCUCGCCAAGAGGAACUAAGAGAGCUGCUGUGCGCGGGUCCCGCCCCUGCGCUAUCUCAUUUGAUCCACGCCGCAACCUAUGGGUACCAGUCCGGUUCACGGUGAGGAAACCGAGACUCAGACUUGUGAAGUAAUUUGCCCUGGGUACCCAGUUAGUAAACGGCAGGUCUGUCAGGUUCUGACUCCGGCCUCCCACGUCGGGAGAGAGACAUUUGAAUAUGCAUCAAGUCAGGUGGACAACAUCCGAAACAUGAAAAUGUAGAAGAUUCGCGCGGGCCUGCGGGGCCGUGCGCCGGUGUCUGGCGAUCCUAAUGCAAACGUUGUUAAUCAGGUGUAAAUCCUACGAGGCUUUGAAAGAGGCAGGCAUAAGAAGACGCUGAGGUUCUCCAGGACAAGGACUGGAUUUGCAGGAAGGAGGGAGAGGCUGGGGCACAUUCCCGGUGUUAACAGAGGAAAGGCGGCCUCUUAUGUCUCCACGACCGACCGGAGGCCACAAGGCCUGGGGAGGGGGGCUCGGGCCGAUGAGCCAGGACCGAGGGAGAAGGACAGCCCGCCCCACACACCCCGAAAGCACCAGUGAUGAAACCACACAAGUUUCCUCUUCCAUUUUGAUUGCCAAAGCAAAAAUGAACACCGCCGGUGUCUCAGGUGUGAAAAAAGACUGUUUGCUUUAGAGCAUUUUGCUUUCAAUGAGGAAGAAAAGGGGGACGAUGGGCAAAACACACACACACACACACACACACACACACACACACACACACACACACAUUUCCCUUGAAAUAAAUACAUCAAUGUCUUUUUUUUCCCCGUUCAUGGAGGGUUUUGCCACUCAUCUGUAAGUUUCAGGCACCAGAACAAACUGAAGAGCAUCUCCUCUGGAAGCAAGGAACCUGGAUUUGAAGCCCAGCUCUGCCGUUUACUGGCUUUGACCCCUGGGCAAGUUACUUAACUUCUCAAUGCCUCUGUUAGGAAAAGUCAGUGAGUUAACAUUUGUGAAGUGUUGAGAUUCCUGUCGAACGUGAAGUAGGUGCUACGUAAAUGUUUUUUAAAUUUAAAAAUUAGAUGAUCAUUUUCAGUAUGAAAAGCAACACAAUUCCAUCCAGCUCCAAGCAAAUCCGACUGGAACUGAGGGUUUCCAGCAUGAGCAAUGAGGUAAAUUUCUCAGAUUUCAGGGUAUGGUUCAUAUUAAACUCAUAAAACUCUACUCCCCGUGGGGCUGCCUGAGUCACUCCAUCACAGAGCCACAAGUAUUUCCUGAGCACUACUGUUUUGGAUGCUGGGAGGCAAAGAGAAGCAGAAGGCCUUGGGUGGCAAGAGAAUACAGGUGUCUCUAGAAGGCUGAAGCAGGCUUGUGCCCUGGGAAUGGCACAGAGAUGCAAUAAACAGCCCUGAUGUCUGAG
rnacentral:lncRNA from 10 species